UCCUUGGCUGGAUACAUGUUAAUUUUUCAUUCACAAUCUCUACAUCCAAGCACCUUUUCAAAGUCAGACUUGGAUCCCUCGUGUUUCUCAGCAACCUCCUCCAGGUAAGAAGAUAACUUCCUCUUGCCACCUACUUUUUCUAGCACUAAUCCUGCUCCUCAAAAACUACCACCUUGCUGCGUCUGAGCAAGGAUAUCCACCUCCUUAUGUCUGCAUGGUCUUACUCCCUGCAUUACAUAGUGAGCUACAGUCAGUGCUGGCUGAAUAGGUCCUUUAGUUACCACUACAUCAGGAGGGAAUUUGACCCAACUGCUGUGCCAGUUCAGUUAUGAACAAAUGGACCAACUGGUAUCUGCAGAGACCUUGGUUUGUGUGCCAUUCAACAUCCCUCUAUGACUGCACUUACAAACCCUGCUCAGCCCCUGUUAAUCAGAGGAAGCCUGGAAUGGAGCUGCUGCUGAUGCUACCUACAAGCCUGUUGUUCGGGGGCGUGAUGCCUCACAGGACCCAGCUUGGCACCACUUCAGCAGGCAGCUGCAAUUGUUUGACAUCUACAAGGACACCAUGUCUUUGAGCUGAGGCCACAAGUUGUGCCAAGAGUGCAUUGAGGAGGGGGUUGGUUUCUGCAGCAGAAGCGCAGGGAUAUAUAUCCCUGCCAGCAGAGCCCCAGGUGCAUGUCACACCGUGCCGACUCCUGGCCCAGGUCCCAGAGGGCAGAAGGAUAAGUCAGCACCAAAGCAGGAGGAUGGGAUCGCCUGCUAUUUCUGCCUGACACAUCCUCGUCCUACUGCGUCAAUCCUCCGAGCAUGUCUGAAGAAGCACACCACCAACACUGCCCACGUAGGCUGCCUCUCAGCAUAUCCUAGCUGCUCCCAGAGAAAAGGAAGCUUUAUUUUUCCUCUCCCAAGGACCAGGAGGUGCUGUACGGUUUGUGCUAGGACAGUCCAAUUGUGCUACUUUGCAGAGUAGCCCAAAGGCCACUACUUCGCUACUCUGCAGGUCUGGAGGAGACACUCUGAAGACCUAGAGUGAAAAUGUUGCCCAGUCAGCUGGGUGCUCUGCUGCACAGGCUGAUCUGCAGAAGGGCAGCCCCUUGAAUAGCCUUGGGCAAGGGGUACAGCACCACUGCUCAUGCUUGUGGUGCUGCCAACUAAAUCCCUUCAACACUCCGGCAAUAGUGCUUUUGCUUACGUGAGCAAGCGGCUACCGGGCAGAGGCUGACUGCCAAAGAAACUGCAGAUGGCUGGAGAGGGCAGGGGGAUCUCAAUGAUGCAUGGGGCCAGGCUAGUGUCCGGCUCAGCUCUGCUUGCUCAUGCCCCCUGCACUGCAAACAUAUCUGAAGAUUUUAGAGACAUUGAAAGAAGCAGCUCUGAAAUGAUGUGGGCAAAAAAAAUAAUAGUAAUAAUAAUAAAAUGAUGAGGACUAUUUGCGACUUUCGUAGC
rnacentral:lncRNA from 1 species